ACAUCCGCUGCUUGUGUGUCUUCACAACCCGGCUCGCAAAGUACACGCUGCUCUGAGCCGACGGAUCCGUCGGCAUCGGGGCUUUUUUCGGCAGGAAAGCUGCUGAAACACAACUUUCCAUAGUCUAGAGAGUUCUCUCCUUUCAAUCACAUCAUGCGCGCGAAGUGGAGAAAGAAGAGGAUGCGUAGGCUGAAGCGCAAGAGGAGGAAGAUGAGGGCAAGGUCGAAGUAAUUGAUUCGCCUCAUGCACUCCGCUGACUUCGGUACACGUUGAAAGAACAAUCUGGCGUCUUCGUGCAACCGCUACAUAAUGAAUUAUGUUAUCCACACUUUUAUUAAUAAAAGCCACAGCCAAUUCCAGAUA